rnacentral:rRNA from 1 species
UAUACAGCGAAACUGCGAAUGGCUCAUUAUAUAAGUUAUCGUUUAUUUGAUAGUGCCUUACUACUUGGAUAACCGUGGUAAUUCUAGAGCUAAUACAUGCUAAAAACCCCGACUUCGGAAGGGGUGUAUUUAUUAGAUACAAAACCAAUGCCCUUCGGGGCUCUUUGGUGAUUCAUGAUAACUAUACGAAUCGCACGGCCUUGCGCCGGCGAUGGUUCAUUCAAAUUUCUUCCCUAUCAACUUUCGAUGUUUGGGUAUUGGCCAAACAUGGUUGCAACGGGUAACGGAGGGUUAGGGCUCGACCCCGGAGAAGGAGCCUGAGAAACGGCUACUACAUCCAAGGAAGGCAGCAGGCGCGCAAAUUACCCAAUCCCGACUCGGGGAGGUAGUGACAAUAAAUACUGAUACAGGGCCCUUUCGGGCCUUGUAAUUGGAAUGAGUACAAUUUAAAUCCCCUUAACGAGGAACAAUUGGAGGGCAAGUCUGGUGCCAGCAGCCCGCGGUAAUUCCAGCUCCAAUAGCGUAU